rnacentral:ncRNA from 1 species
UUGAGCCGUAUGCGGGGAAAAUCGCACGUACGGUUCUCGGGGGGCCCGAUCUUCGUAAGAAGGUCGGGCCCCCCGAC